UGUAGGAGCGAGCCUGCUCGCGAUUGCAGACUGGCAGUCAAUGCUGUGGUGAAUGACACACCGCAAUCGCGAGCAGGCUCGCUCCCACA
rnacentral:antisense_RNA from 1 species